CGACAAGAUCGUUUUCCUUAAAGGGUGGCUGUGAGCCUUCAAUUACACAGUGAUGAAAAGACCUUAGCACAGUGCUGGGCAACGGCUAGCUACUUCAGAGGCACAGCUGAGACUUGCACAGAGGUACCUGGCUGCAAAGUCCGGCUCCUCUACACUCUGCAGAGCUGUUUUCCCCCUUCAGAGCUCCUCUCCUCCGGGAGGGCUUGCCUCGCCCCGGUCCAGGAUCUCUGCCUUCGGUUGAAGCGCAGCGCCCCCAGCCGUCCGCAGGAGGGAUCGACGCCUCUGUCUCCCCGAAGUGAGGGCGCUCGCUGCGGAGCUGGGGGUGGUCUCCUCUUCCCCCCAUCGCGGCCCAGCAACCUGGGGGUCCGCGUGACUUCUCCCUGGCCGGGGGAUGGAGGAUGCGCUCUCCUCUGUCCCUUCAAGGCCUCUUCCUCGUCCCAGGUCGAGUCUCCUCCUUGCUGACCAGGCAUCGCGAGCAGAUGAAUCCUCUGGGCGGUUGUCCCUGUCAGGCUGUCAGGACCUGAUUUUCCCUGACCCCGCACCUGAUGAAUCAGCUGGCACCACCCAGAUUGAAAAACUGGCUCAUCUGAUCUUGUGGCCCCCUACCCAGGAACUGACUCAGCGCAAGAGGACAGCUUCGACUGCCUGUGACUUCAUCUCCAACCCAGCCAAUCA
rnacentral:lncRNA from 1 species